UACGUAGGUUGCGAGCGUUAUUCGGAUUCACUAGGCGUAAAGCGUGUGUAGGCGGAUGCCUAAGUCUGACGUGAAAUCUCCCGGCUUAACUGGGAGGGGUCGUUAGAUACUGGGCGUCUUGAGUUGGGUAGGGGGAACCGGAAUUCUUGGUGUAGCGGUGAAAUGCGUAGAUAUCAAGAGGAACACCUGAGGUGAAGACGGGUUGCUGGGCCAACACUGACGCUGAGGCGCGAAAGCCAGGGGAGCAAACGGG
rnacentral:rRNA from 1 species